CAGAUGAGUUCCAGUCAAAUGGCUGUCCCAGGUGAAGAGAGACGGAGAGCAACAUAUAUAUUCUUUCUCUCCUCCUCACUGUUUCUUCUCUUCUCUGACCUUUCUGCCUCAUUCCUUAUUUAUUUUAAUUUUUUAAACUGUCUCUUUCCCUUGCUUCUAGCAACAUAUCUAUGUUUUCUUAGCAUUUCUAGCUUUUUUCUCAUAGGUGUGUCUAAUGGGCUCUCUGCACACUAGUGACUCUGUUGAAAUCCGAAGAAGUAAAAUGAUAGCAGAAUAUGUGUUGCCAAGCAAGACCCUUCUCUUUUUCCUAUGUUUGGAAAAUCCUGGAACAUAGCUCUUGAAAUGCAGGGGUUGAAUUUUCUUUGUGUUCUGUACACAGCUCUGUGUGCUGAAGAUGUUCAGUAAAAGUUAAAUGAGAGUGAUAGCAGAUGUUCUAGGCUUCCUACUAGAUAGGGGGUACAUUGCUGUCUCUCAUUUAUUCAUUUGUUCAUUCAUUCACUGAUUAAAAGAGGUAAACAAUGGUCAGAUUCCAUUAGGCUUUCCAGACCAUAAGGAAAAAAAUAUUUAUUUUUUAAACAUUUAAAUUGAUGGACAAGAGUCCUUCACCUUUAUGGGGUAUAGUGUGAUGUUCUGGUACAUUUAUACAUUGUAUAAAGAAAUUUGGUUUUGAUUUUAAGAACCGUGGGAGGCCAGGAGACCAACAUGGUCUGGUGUUUUCGAAAGCUCUCUCAGGUUGCAGUGUAAGAAUGGAUGAGGGGGUCCAGGGCAGGGGCAGGAGAUCAACCAGGAAAGCCAGCAGAGUUCUAGUCUACAAAUAAUGAUGGCUUAGACUAGGGUGAUUUAUGUGGAUAUGGAGAGAAGCAGAACAUUCUUGCCCAAACAUUUAUUCCUAGGCCAAACCCUAUUUCUCUUAUUAGUAUUGCUUCUGUUAAACACUGGGGGGCUGGCUUCAGCAUUCACAUGCUUGGGUUAGUGUCUUAGCAGCUGAUCUGGAACUCCAAAAGUCAGGCUUUAUUGGAUCACCUUAUUGAGUCAUAUGUAUUCCUUGUCCCCUGGCCAUUCUUACCUCUUGUAGGGGCACAGUACUGCUCAGUGUGUUUGUUUAAUAACUUGAUGAUUAUUUCUUUAUAUUAUGCUUG
rnacentral:lncRNA from 1 species